rnacentral:rRNA from 1 species
AGAACGAACGCUGGCGGCAUGCCUAACACAUGCAAGUCGAACGCUCUUGGGGCUUCGGUCUCAGGGGAGUGGCGCACGGGUGAGUAGCGCGUGGGAACCUGCCCUGUUGUGGGGGAUAACCGAGGGAAACUUCGGCUAAUACCGCAUAAGCCGGUUGUCUUGAAGGAGAUGGCCGGGAAAGAUUUAUCGCGACAGGAGGGGCCCGCGUCGGAUUAGCUAGUUGGUGGGGUAACGGCCCACCAAGGCGGUGAUCCGUAGCUGGUCUGAGAGGAUGAUCAGCCACACUGGGACUGAGACACGGCCCAGACUCCUACGGGAGGCAGCAGUGGGGAAUAUUGGACAAUGGGCGCAAGCCUGAUCCAGCAAUGCCGCGUGAGUGAUGAAGGCCUUAGGGUUGUAAAGCUCUUUCGCCCACGACGAUGAUGACGGUAGCGGGAGAAGAAGCCCGGCUAACUUCGUGCCAGCAGCCGC